AAGCAAUUGACAAUGCGUUACAUUCAACUUGAAGAAAUAAGUAUUUUCUUCCCUUAAAAAAUUUACCAAUUUAAUUAUCAUCCAAGGUCUCGAACUCAUGAACUCAAGCCAUCUGCUCGCCUCAGCCUCCCAAAGUGCUGGGAUUACAGGUGUGAGCCACUGUGCCUGGCCUAUAGCAUGACUUUUAUACCUCUCAGAGUCCUCUCAUAGAGUUUAUCAAGCAUAGUAGGACUACAGCAGCUACCUAAUGGGUGGAAUACAACCCUGACUUACUGAAAUGGAACUGAAGUCAUUGGCGGAAAG